CUCCAGAGCAAGGAAUAGCUGCCACCCCGGCACAUUAGAGACUUUGGGGGCCAGAAACAAUGUGACAAUACAAGGGAAAGAAAGCAUGGGGAUCCAUUGCUGAGAUGACUGGCCUAAAAAUGUCACAGGAUAGAAGAGUUCCACUUUGUUGGAGGCAUUUGGAGAGAGAUGAGGAAACAGCACUACAGGUCUUUCCAUAAUGUUCAUCAAUGUGCCUUCAAGGAAUUUGCACCAACACAAACAACUGCCUCAAGAGGACACUGUGUUGCCAAGGUUAUACAGCUAUAAUCAUCAUGUAUUUAUGCAAAAUAAGAACUAUGUAAUGGUGCAACAUUAAACAUGAUGAGAUUAUUAAAAGGAAAACA